AGGCAAAGGAAUCCAACAUUGGAACAGUUUUCCUCUACAUACCACUUCAUUCUUUACCUGGACUAGAGGAUUUUCGAAAUGGCUACCUAAAAAAAUUUGAAUUUCUUUUUGAAGAAAUCCGAAGUCAGGUUCACACUUCAAAUGCCAGUUUCAUUGCAGACCCGAGGUUACCCCCAUCAUCUGGAAGUCCACUCACUCAGUUAGCAAUGGUGGAUACAUAUGAACAUCGUAUCAUAGAUGAUCGAUAUUCUCGUGAAUUUACCGAGAUCUCAUUGCUAGGGAAGGGUGGGUUUGGAUCAGUUGUGAAGGCUAAAAGUCGGCUUGAUGGGCAUUCAUAUGCUGUCAAAAUUAUUAUUAUGAAUAAGAAGAAUAAUGAAACAAACCAGAAAAUUCUAAGGGAAGUGCAAGCCCUAGCACAAUUAGAUCAUCCUAACAUAGUAAGGUAUCAUAGUUCCUGGCUGCAGAUGUAUACUCUUCCUUGUCAACAUGAAUCACUUGAUGGCAAGAUGCAAAAUUGUAGAAAAUCAGGAAGACACAGAAUUGAAAAGGAAAUCAAGAUCCAAGAGUU